CCUACGGGUGGCAGCAGUGGGGAAUCUUGCGCAAUGGGCGAAAGCCUGACGCAGCGACGCCGCGUGAGGGAUGAAGGUCUUCGGAUCGUAAACCUCUGUCAGCAGGGAAGAACAGUCACUGUUCUAAUCAGCAGUGACUUGACGGUACCUGCAAAGGAAGCACCGGCUAACUCCGUGCCAGCAGCCGCGGUAAUACGGAGGGUGCGAGCGUUAAUCGGAAUUACUGGGCGUAAAGCGCUCGUAGGCGGUAUGUCAAGUCAAGGGUGAAAUCCCCGCGCUCAACGUGGGAACUGCCUUUGAAACUGGCAAACUGGAGUGUGUGAGAGGAUAGUGGAAUUCCAGGUGUAGGAGUGAAAUCCGUAGAUAUCUGGAGGAACAUCAGUGGCGAAGGCGACUAUCUGGCACAUAACUGACGCUGAGGAGCGAAAGCGUGGGUAGCAAACAGGAUUAGAUACCCCUGUAGUC
rnacentral:rRNA from 1 species